AAAAAUCUAACGUUUUUUUCUAAAUUAAUGACCAUUUUGUUCUUCUACAGUAAAAGUAGACGUUAUUUUUACGACAGAAGCUCAAUAUUUUAAUGGUCAAGGACUAAAGUAUAAUACAUAUGAACAUUAAAAACUAAAAUAUUUGAAUAAGAAAUAUAUUGCACCAAGUUGUCAUUUGGACUGUCCAUGCCUUCUACUCACUUGAAAAUAUUCUUAUUCUUUGCAGUCUGUAAGCUAUAAAACGUCUUAGUACUUACUGUUGGCCAUUAAAGAAAGCAUCAUGUCAUGGAAGUGUACCAAAUUGAAAAGUCUGAUCUUUUCUCUCCCCUCUGAAAAUUUGUUCUUUAGCCAUAUCCUCACACCAAAUAAAUUAUACAUACAUAUCAAUGAA
rnacentral:lncRNA from 1 species